rnacentral:rRNA from 1 species
GUAGGGAAUAUUGCGCAAUGGACGAAAGUCUGACGCAGCGACGCCGCGUGAGUGAUGAAGGCCUUAGGGUCGUAAAGCUCUGUUGAAUGGGAAGAAAAAAAUGACGGUACCAUUCGAGGAAGGACCGGCUAACUUCGUGCCAGCAGCCGCGGUAAUACGAGGGGUCCUAGCGUUGUUCGGAAUCAUUGGGCGUAAAGGGUGUGUAGGUGGCCAUGUAAGUCAGGUGUGAAAGCCCCGGGCUCAACCCGGGAAGUGCACUUGAUACUGCGUGGCUUGAGUACCGAAGAGGGUAGUGGAAUUCCAGGUGUAGUGGUGAAAUACGUAGCUAUCUGGAGGAACACCGGUGGCGAAGGCGGCUACCUGGUCGAGUACUGACACUGAGACACGAGAGCAUGGGGAUCAAACAGGAUUAGCAACCCUUGUAGUCC